GAUAAAUUUAUUAAUUUAUAGAGUUAUUUACAAUUUAGUUAACAUACAUCUAACAAGUAAACAUUGAAUGUAUUUUACCAAUAUUGAAUAUGAAUUAAACUAUACAUUCAAUUAACCAAAAUAAUAAAUACAUACAUUGUACAUGUCUACUUAAUUAGAUAACAUUCAUGUUACGUUAACUUAAUUAAAUGUAGCAAAUGAAUUAGAUUAAAAAUUAUUUAAUUCAUGUUAUACUCAAUGUAUUUAACUAAUCAUUUAGUCAAGAAAAUAAAUAUAUUUUACUUAUUUAUGUGCUUAAUUAAAUAGUAUUCAUAUUAAUUAACUUAAUUAAAUGUGUUCGAUGAAUUUGAUUAAAAAUAAUCUUUAUGUAAAAUCUCGUUGAAGAAGAAGCUGAGGAUAAUACAAUAGCUUUGAAACCUGUUACAUGCAAGAAAGCACUAAGACAGUGUUUACUUUCUGGAGUGAGAGUGAGGAGUGUGGAUUCCUCCCACUUCAGUGUUUACUUCAACAAAAUAGAGAGGGAUUGGGAAUCCCACUCCGUGGCCCCACUCAUUUUUGGAGUGGGGAGUGGGAGUGGGAAUCCACUCCCACCUCUCCCUUUUCUACCAUUUGUUUUUAAUUUAAUUUAAUAAAAUAAAAUAAUUUAUAAUUAUAUUUAUUUAAAUAAUAUUAUUUUAUUUAACUAAAUAAUAAUUUACAUUGAUUAUAAGUUAAAAUUACUUAAAAUAAUAUUAUUAUAUUAAUAGAGAAUUAAUAAAUAUAUGCUAUCUUUAUUUAAUAAUAUAAUAUUAUUAUAUUUAUUUUAAAAAUACUAGUACUAUAGUUAUUUAAUAUUAAUAAUUAAUAAUAAUAAAUAGUUUAUUCUAAGAAAAUAUUAAUUUUGUACUAAAUAAUAUUAUAUUAAUAAAUUUAAUAUAAUUAUAUAAAAUAAAAUAAUGUUUCAUUUUAUAUUUACCAUUCUUUUUAUUAAAUUUACUAUAACUAUAUUUAAUAAAUAUUUAAAUAAUAUUAUUAUAUUUAACUAAAUAAUAAUUGGGUUUGAUUCUAAGUUUAAUUUACUUAAAAAUAAUAUUAUUAUAUUAAUAGAGAAUUAAUAAUAUUACUAUAUACAAUCUUUAUUUGAAAAUAUAAUAUUAUUAUAUUUAUUUAAAAAUAAUAGUAUUAUAUUUAUUUAAUAUUAAUAAUUGAUACUAAUAAAUACUUUUUCUAAGAAAAUAUUAAUUUCAUACUAUGUUAAUAGUAAAAAUAUUUCAUUUAUAUUGCCCUUAUCAACAAUUUUUAAUUUAUAUAAUUAAAAUUAAAAAAAAUGUGUUGUUCAUAAUUAAGAAUAUUAAUAAUUAUUAUAAAUUUACAAAUAUAAUAAAAUAUAUGUUUAUUCAUUAAAUAUAUUUUUUAUUAACUUUGUAAUUAAAAACUAUAAUUCUUUACAUAAGGAUAAAAUUGUAAUUUGAAACUAUUUACUCCUAAUCCAAGACAAAGUAAACACAUAAAUUGGAUUCUGAUCUCCAUUCCAUACUUCCAUUUCAGUGCAAGUAAAUAACUUACUCUCACUCCCACUCCACACUCCCAAUCUUAGGAUGUCCACUCCUCAGGAUUCUCACUCCAAUCCAAAAAGUAAACGCUACCUAAAAGUAUCAACAAUACUUCUCAAUUUCUUAUUACAAUUCGAGAAGUCAACCUCAGAACUUCUAGAUACAAUAAGAAAAAUAAGACAUAAGAUCCAUGGAUAGCAAUGGGGUGGGGUGGGGUGGGGUGGGUGGGGGUGUCUACCUCAUUCUUCACCCCAUAAAAAUUUCGCCUCGAUUCCCCAUCCCAUCCCCCAAUAAAUUUUGUGGGGUGAGGAUGGGGAAUCCUUAUAUGGGGAAUGAUUUCCCCAUCUCCACCC
rnacentral:lncRNA from 1 species